rnacentral:rRNA from 1 species
CGUAGGGUCCAAGCGUUAUCCGGAAUCACUGGGCGUAAAGCGUGCGUAGGUGGAUGUUUAAGUGUGAUGUUAAAUCGUGUGGCUCAACCAUAUCGAUGUGUCGCAUACUGGGCAUCUAGAGGACAGCAGAGGCAAGUGGAACUGGUAGUGUAGCAGUGAAAUGCGUAGAUAUUACCAAGAACACCAAUGGCGAAGGCAGCUUGCUGGGCUACUCCUGACACUGAGGUACGAAAGCGUGGGGAGCGAACAGGAUUAGAUACCCUGGUAGUCCACGCCGUAAACGAUGCAUACUAGACGUAUGGGGUAUCGACCCCCUGUGCGUCGCAGCUAACGCGAUAAGUAUGCCGCCUGGGAAGUACGGCCGCAAGGCUA